rnacentral:rRNA from 1 species
GACGAACGCUGGCGGCGCGCCUAACACAUGCAAGUCGAACGGAGCGCACGGGAUGAAGUUUUCGGACGGAAUUCUGUGUUGCUUAGUGGCGAACGGGUGAGUAACACGUGAGCAACCUACCCAAAAGUGGGGGACAACAUUUGGAAACAGAUGCUAAUACCGCAUAAGACCACAGCCGGACAUCCGGCGGUGGCCAAAGGAGCAAUUCGCUUUUGGAUGGGCUCGCGCCUGAUUAGAUAGUUGGUGGGGUAACGGCUCACCAAGUCUGCGAUCAGUAGCCGGACUGAGAGGUCGAACGGCCACAUUGGGACUGAGACACGGCCCAGACUCCUACGGGAGGCAGCAGUGGGGAAUAUUGCACAAUGGGCGAAAGCCUGAUGCAGCGACGCCGCGUGAGGGAAGAAGGUUUUCGGAUUGUAAACCUCUGUCUUCGAGGACGAAGAAGUGACGGUACUCGAGGAGGAAGCCACGGCUAACUACGUGCCAGCCGCCGCGGUAAAAC